AACGAACGCUGGCGGCAUGCCUAACACAUGCAAGUCGAACGAGACCUUCGGGUCUAGUGGCGCACGGGUGCGUAACGCGUGGGAGCCUGCCCUUAGGUUCGGAAUAACUCCCCGAAAGGGGUGCUAAUACCGGAUAAUGUCUUCGGACCAAAGAUUUAUCGCCUUUGGAUGGGCCCGCGUUGGAUUAGCUAGUUGGUAGGGUAAAAGCCUACCAAGGCGACGAUCCAUAGCUGGUCUGAGAGGAUGAUCAGCCACACUGGGACUGAGACACGGCCCAGACUCCUACGGGAGGCAGCAGUGGGGAAUAUUGGACAAUGGGCGAAAGCCUGAUCCAGCAAUGCCGCGUGAGUGAUGAAGGCCUUAGGGUUGUAAAGCUCUUUUACCCGGGACGAUAAUGACAGUACCGGGAGAAUAAGCUCCGGCUAACUCCGUG
rnacentral:rRNA from 1 species